rnacentral:lncRNA from 1 species
UGAUUUCACCUUGUUCUCCAGUGAGAACAUCAAGGGAACCCAUAUGCACCAUUGCGUCGCCGAACUUUUUAGCCCAUGCUUCACCGCGCCUCACAUUGUUCAACACCAACUCGGACGUCAAGGAACUGUCCAUCAAUGUCUGGUCGGAGGUGAGCAAACCACGACGACGCGUCAGUUCAAUGUAGUACUUGUUGUCCAGGCGAGUGGGUGUGACACGUUCAAGUGGCACUGUGGUUCGAUCCCCUCCAGCACUAGCCGCAGAUGUUGGGGGUGGGCACUUGAUUUUCAAAAAGGCAGCGUAGUUAGGAUCAAGAGAAGGGUCUUGAGCAUGAGUGGCGUUAAAAGAGUAGAGCCGGUUGGAAAAGGAAGAGCAAUGCGAGACACCAAUGGAGUGUGCCCCUGAUAAUGUCACCAUCUCAUCCACUGACAUUCCUUUCCUAUCGAAAAGUUGAGCAAUUUGUUGCGCGUUGAAGAACGGCGGGGGCAGGUUUUGUGGUACUUCGUCGCUAAUAGAGACACGGCCAUCCCGGCGGCCGGCGGGAAUGGCGUAAUAAAUCCCUCCAGCUUUGUACGUGCUGUCACGGGCAGCGAAUGCGAUUAUGUCCGCACAAGACACGGUUCCUGGACAUUGUGCCUCGAUUUGGGCUUUGGCCUCAUCAAUCACCUCGAAGCCUCGCAAACUAGGGUUAUUAGCAGGGUGAUCCAUCUCUGCUGGGGGUUCUCCGGGCACGGACCUUAGAAGGACUGAAGCAUCACAACCCUGAAUUUGCAUGCAAGGAGCAGAGUUAGAGUAGGAAACAUGAUGAGUCAAUCUAUCAAUUAUUAAGCAAAUGAGCGUAUACAUACCCUGACGAAGCAGUCAUGGAAAUACAUUCGGAUGAGACCAGCAGCUAUGCCAGGAUUAAGUGUAACCGCUUUGUUUACAGCUUUUCUUACAAUGGUCUCUGCGGAUGGACAAGUUUGUGUAUAGAAGCCCACCUUCAAAGAUGCAGAAGCCACAAUUGAGCAGCCAAGCAUGAAGGAGAACAAGGCAAUAAUGUGAAAUUUCGAGCACAACAAAGUCAUUGUGCCUGAUAUAUAUAAUAUAGCAGAAGAAAAAAUUGUAUAUUAAUUGGAAAGGGUUGAGGAUCAGAAUAUAGUGGUUUGUGCAGUUGGAAUUGAAAGAUUAUGAGAGUGGAGAUGUUGGAUGGAGUAUAUAUACAUGGCCAUAGGAGGAGUUGGUGGUGAUUACUUGUUGGAACCAAAAACGUGUGUAGUUUAAGCUGUAGGCUUGAAAGCAUAGCUUGGGGUUGAGGUGUUCCUUUGUUUUGAACCAUUUAGAGGCAUGCAGCAGCUUCUUUGUUUUGAUUUGUCGAUUUUCUUCUUCUUUUUUAAUAUUUACAUUUUUUCCUCCUUAAAUUACAAUUGUUCUGAUUUGUUAAAUUCCACUCAUAUUUAAUAGUUUAAAAUAAUUGUUUUGUUAAAUAAAAUAAUUAAAUUUAUAAUUAUUUAAUUUGACUCACGAACACCUUUAUAUUAGAGCCAAUAACAUAACCAAAAUUUUAAUUUAGGGAUCAAAAUUGAUUUAUAAAUUUAAAAAAAAUCAAAGUGCAAAUUUACAAUUAUAUUAAUUUAUUAUUUUAAAAUUUUUAAAAAGACUAAACUCAAAUUUUAUCAUUUGAGGACCAAAAUAUAAUUAAUUAACAUUGAAAUUUUAUUUUAAUAAUAAAAUUUAACAAAAAAAUUUUUAAAUAAUAUUUUUAAUAUUGAAAAAAAUAUUGAUAUUAAUAUUUUAAUCAUAAAUUUAUAUUACAAUUUAUAAAUAUUUAAUAAUAAAUAUUUUAUAGUAUAUAAUAUAAAUAUUUUAAUUAUAUAAAUAUGAGUAUUUGCUUAAAUCAUGUUUAGGUUCAUUUAUCCCUUCAAACUCUAAUGCGCCAUUAUACACUCUCGUAUAUGUAAUCUAGAUUAAGUUUUAAUUAGGUAUUGUUUAUAAUUAAGUUUAUAUAUGCACUGUUUUUUAAACCGGACUGGUGGUCGAACUAGUCAAGUCACCGAUUCACCGGUCCAAUUAAAAAAUUAUUACAAACUAAAAAAAAACUAAAAACCUUGAUUCAACUGGUUCAAUUGUCGGUUCAAUGGUUCAAUCGUUGAUUCAAACGGUUUUUUAGUCAGUUUAAUCGAUUUGUACCAAUUCCCGAUCUAACCAAUUCAAAACCAUCUUCCAAAACGGUACCCCAAUCCAACUGACUGGUCCAAUCCAAUUCAAAUAACAUUGUAUAUAUGAUAUUGAUGAUUAUAAAAUAUUAUCUUAUUAUAAAAUAAAUUUCAAUUGUCAAAAGUAAAUGUUACUAUAAUAUUUUGUAACAAAUAUAUUUAUGUUGUGUUUAUUUCAUUAACGACAACUUUUAGACAAUAAUUUCAAAAAAAUUACCAAACAAUAAAAAAUAUUUUAUGCAGAAUUCAAACACAAAAAAAAAUUCAAUUUUUUAAAGAAUCAAUCCAUUUUACAAAAAUUAUUUUAAUGAAGCUUAAGUUUCUUUUUAUAUUGUAUUUAUUUUAUGUAAUUGUAUAAUGUUAAAUAAGGAAUAGCCAGGAAUUUCAACUUGUCCUACAUAAGUAAUAGUUUUUAUACGAUUUUGGCAAGUUUUAAAUGCUAUGGCAACUAGCUAUUUCUAGUUGUGACUACGCCAAUUCUAUCUCAAAUCCAAUUGAAGUACACACAUUAUGCAAAACCAAAUUUUAUUUAAUGAUAAAUCUUACAACAGUAGGUACGACUUACAAGUGGGAUUGUCCAAAUAUAGGAGAGAUAAUUACCAUUAAAAAAAUUAAAUAUAGUGAGAGGUACUAGAGAAAAAUAUGUCCUAAUGAAACAAUUACAAUCACAAGUGGUUAUCACGAAAGCAGAUUUUUUUAAAAUUGAAUCUCUGGUCAAAUAAGUUAAAUUGUUAGUUUUCAAUUUAAUUGAUGUUAGAUAUCAAUCCAAUUAAGUAACGAAUAAAUAAAAAAAUAGUGGUACAAAUUGAGAAAUUAAACAAACAAAUUUAACGUGAAAAAACCCCUCCAAAGAGGAUAAAAAAAUAAGCAAAGAUAAUUUUACUAUAAUGGAAAAAGAACGAAGAGUACAAAAGAUGGAGAUAAAAACUAAAUCCGAAAACAAAGAAGUGAACACAAAAUUCUCCAAAAGUGUUAUGAGUUCUAAUAUUUAAUGGGUGUGCUUUUGUAAAAGAGCCUAUUUAUAGGCUAAAUUCGUAGGUCAAAUAAUAAUAAAAUAAUCUAAACUAAUCAGAGUUCGACUGAAACAAAUAACUAGAGUUUAACUAGGAGAUUAUCUUUCAAAUUUGACUGAAAUACGUGGCAUACUCAACAAAUCUCCACCUUUACUCGUAUUUCACAACGCCAUCUUUCCCAAAGCCCGCCACGGGCCUAUCUUAAACUAUGCAGGAAAUUAACUGAGUUUAAUCUGUGCUUAGAAGAUGGAAGACUUCUAGCCUUUGACUUGUGCACUACCAAAUCAAAACUAACCCGAGUCUGAUUUUCACGAACACAGUGUUUUAACUUUUCAAAACCUGCAUCCAAAAGAGAACCUCUUUUCAACAAAAUGGUCAUGCAUUUUUCCCUCAUAUGACCAAGUUGCCUCCGCUCCAAACGAGUUGGCUUCGACUCCGUGACAAACAUGGGACAUUCGGUUUCACCAAUCAUUGUAGAACCUUCAAGAAUAUAAAGAUUGUCGGUCCUUUUAGCUUUUAAUAAAAUGAGAGCCCUACGAGACACCUUAAUACUGUUCGACUUGAUAUUGAUUCUGCAACCUUUCUAGUCUAAAAUACUCAAGGAGAUAAAAUUCUUUCGUAAACUAGGUACAUAUCUGACAUCUAAGAGUGUCCUAAUCAUCCCAUCGUGCUUCCUAAUUUUAACGGUACCAAUACCAAUUACCUUACUGGAUGAAUCAUUUUCCAUGCGCACAACUCCAUCUGCAACCGAACUGUAUGUGGAGAACCAUUCUCUGUUGGGACACAUGAGGAAAGAACGUCUCGAAUCUAGGAUUCACUCAGACGUAAGCUCAAAGCUAUCGCUCAUUGACACUAACAAGAUAUCAUUAUCGCUUUCAUUGGCCAAAUUAGCACCAACUAUAUCUUCCUCAUUACUCUCAACAACCCUUUUUAUUUUGUAGUUUAUAAUAAUCUACUCUGACGUGACCUAACUUCUUACAAUAACAACACAUUUUUUCUCGCUUCUUUGAUGCUUCCAAAAUGAAAGCUUGCCUAUCUGCCUUGCUAUUCGAACCAAACUCAUUGUCAAGUUUUUCUUUACUCAACAAUGACUCUUCAUUUCCUAGAAUAAGAGUUUGUCUCUGUCAUAAAUUAGGGUCUCCCUAAAAGACUUGUAUAAAGAGGGUAAAGAGCACAAUAAUAGCAUAGCCAGAUCUUCAUCGUCAAUCUUAAACUCAACAUUAUUUAAAUCAUUCAAAAGAGUAAUAAAUUAACUAAUGUGAUCUCAAGAACCUCACAUUCUUUCAUGCGAAACGUAAAUAGAUGUUGCUUCAACACUAAAUGGUUAGCCAAAGACUUAGUCGUAAAAAGAGUUUCUAACCUUUUCCACAAGGCGAAUGAGGUUUUCUCCAUCAAUACCUUCUGCAAUACCCUAUUCGCGAGGCACAACUGGGUUGCAGACAAGGCCUUUUCAUCAAGCUCUUCCCAUUUUGCCCGAUCUAGAUUCUUAAGCUUUUUCCUGAUAACGACAUUUUUCAGGCCGGUCUGAACUAGAAUUGCCAUCAUCUGAACUUGCCAUAGAUUGAAAUUUGUAACACCAUCAAACUUCUCAAUGCCAAAUAUUGUUGCUGCAAUUUCUGAACGAGCUAAUCAGCGAAAAUUGACCUAGCUCUGAUACCACUUAUUGGGGAUCGACUCAAUUAAGCAACGAACAAGUAAAAAAAUAGCAAAAGAAAUUGAGAAAUUAAACACACAAAUUUAACGUGGAAAAUCCCCUCCAAAGAGGAUAAAAAAUCACGGGCAAAGAUAAUUUUACUGUAAUGGAAAAAGAACGAAGAGUACAAAAGAUGGAGAUAAAAACUAAACUCCAAAACCUGAAAACAAAGAACCCUCAAAAUGUAAACACCAAAUUCUCCAACAAUUGACUUGAUCAUUAGUCUAACGAUAAUUAAAUAAAUAAUUUAAAAAUCGUAAAUAAUUAAUAGAAAUUAUAAAUUGGUUCAAUUGAUUCAAUUAUCAAAUUUUACCUCAAAUUUAAAGUUUUUAUUGAUUUUAAAAGUUUAUUUAGUGAACAAUUCAAUCCCUUUGUUCGAAUCGAUAUAGCGAUUGAUUUUCGCUCAGACAAAAUUUCAACAACAUCAUCUCUUAUUUUACAAAAUUUAAUCUCGUGGAUCUCAAAUUAUAAAAAUUAUCUUGAAUGAGCAUGCCUAAUACUCUUUAUAAGAGUUGGUGAAAGGUGGUUUUGUAAUUCACUAUCAAAGUUCUAUGGUGGUCAAUUCGAUUAUACUAUCAGAUUUUAGUUUAAUCGGUUUGAUUCAAUAAUUUUUAAAUAAAAAUAAAAAUUUAUAAAAGAAAAGAAAUUUAAUAAUCGAAUGAACCAUCAAAUUUUUGUGUUUUAUUCAAUGUGUAACUUUAUUCAUGACUUUUUUAUUUGAUUUAUUUUUCAUAAAUGACUAACAUCAUUAUCGAUAAAAUAUCAUUUUAUGUUUACAUGUUACAUUCACAAAUACUUAUAUUUAUCCAAUAUAAAAAUAAAUUGAUGUGUUCAUUUCUUUAAAUGUGUACAAUUGAAUCAAAACAAAAGUUUUAUAUAUACAUUUGAACCAAAAUCAAAAUUUAAUGAGUAUAAUUGCACAAAAUCAAAAUUCAUGUACAAAAUUAAAUAUUAAAUCAAAGCUCGUGUAUAAUUUUAAUAUUCAUCUCUUAUUUAAUGAUGGUCACAAAACUAACUAUAAAUACGAUAAAUACAAGCGCACCUAUCGAACAAUAAUAUAGCUAUGGUAAGUAGAGAAUAUUGUAUCCACGAGGACUAAAAGUACUAGUAAUUAUCGUCUUCUUAUUAUUUAGCCGAUAAAUUGGAGUGAUUAUUUUUAACCUAAAUUUACUAAGAACGCAACAGAGAAUAAAUCAAGGAAAAAAACUAAUAUUAACCAAUGAGAUAGACAAUACCCAAGAAAGAAUCCACCUAGACUUCACCUAUUAUUAUCAAUCUGAAUUAAAUGAUUUAUUCACUUGUUACUUGAUCCGUAGAAAUCCCUAAAUUAUGUUAAUAUCUCUUUCGAGAGUAAGAACAACUGACUCUAGGUUGAUUAAUUGAAAUAUCUUUCUAAUUAAAAUUCCUAUCAUCGCAUUAACUCGAUCUAUGGAUUCCCCUAUUAGAUUUGACUCUAGUCUGGUAGAUUUAUGUCGUCCUAUUUCUAGGAUUGCAUGCAACUCCACUCAAUUAUGCUAAAUCUACUCUUAAAUAAGGACUUUUGCUCCACUAAAAUAAGCACAUUAAAUAUGAAUUAAUAUCCCAGAAAUAUUAAAACAAGAAAUAACCAUACAUAAUUGAGAAUAAGAAUUAAGUAUUUAUCGUGUAAAACAGAAAUUAGAUAAAAUGAUUUAUCAUAGGUUUCAUCCUCCCUAGGUAUCUAGGGAAUUAGUUCAUAGUCCUGAAUAGAAACAUCUCAAAGUCAGAAAAACCACAAGACAUAAAGAAACUCAAUAAAACUUUGAAAGAAAUUAAAAGGAGAUCUUCAAUCUUGAUGGAGAUCCGCUUCCGAGUUGAUUUUGAUGGCGUUCUUCGAGUGUUUUCUUUGAUCUUCUCCGAUUGCCCCCUUAUGUCUUCUUCUCAUGGGUAUUUAUAGACUUUAGAAUGCUUAGAAAACCUAAAAAUUGAUUUCUUUCGCNNNNNNNNNNNNNNNNNNNNNNNNNNNNNNNNNNNNNNNNNNNNNNNNNNNNNNNNNNNNNNNNNNNNNNNNNNNNNNNNNNNNNNNNNNNNNNNNNNNNNNNNNNNNNNNNNNNNNNNNNNNNNNNNNNNNNNNNNNNNNNNNNNNNCUCCCACUUGCUCUCCUAAGUAUAGAAACAUGAAUUUAAAGGAUUAGGAGCAUCAAAUUCACUAAUUUUCAUAAUUAAUCAUUCAAAAAUGAAUUAAAAAUGAGAUUAAAAUAUGUUACUUUUAUAGCUUAUCAUUUAAAAAUUCAUUUUAAUGAGAUUUAAGCUUUUAAAUCUAUCUUUGGAGGAAGCAAUAUGUUUGGUCAAGUAUGUAACAAGAUAUUCUGGUGCAGGAUUCACUACCUUGAACCAAACAAACAUUUAGGGUAAGUAGUUAAAUCCAUAUUAGAUUCAGUGGAAGCGGUUGAAUAAAAAACUAAUGGUUUGACUAGUGAUAAUGAAAAAUAAAACAAAUUGCUAUAAAUUAAUAAAAAAUUGAAAAUCAAAACUUGACGGUUCAACCGAUUAUUAAAAUUUCAUCUCUUUUAUAAUUUUUUUAUUUUUAUUUAACAAUUGUUGAAUUAGAUCAAUUAAACUAAAAUCCGAUAAUAUAAUCAACCACCUUAGAAAAUUGAUAUUGAAUUACAAAACCACAUUUUAUCAACUCUAAUAAGAGUAUUAGACAUGCUCAUUUAAGAUAUUUUUGAUAAUUUGAGAUCCUCGAAAUUAAAUUUUGUAAAAUAAGAGACAGUGUGGAUGUGGCUCCUACUUCAAUGAGUAGUUGAAAUUGGCGGAGGAUGCUUAAGUUGAAGCCUUUGGUUGCUGCCACUUUUCAACAGUUUGCUAAUGCUAAAGUGAGUACUUCUCAAUUGUGGGAGGCAAUUAGAACUCGUGGUGUGAAGGUGGAAUGUCAGUGUUUGCUAUGGUUCCCUUUACAUAUUCCUAAGCAUUCUCUUAUUGCUUGGAUGGUCAUUUUUAAUAGGCUCCCAACUCGAGAUCGCUUGCUUGCUUUUGGGAUUUCGAUUGAUACUUGUUUUUUCUGUAUAGAUGCUGCAGAGAAAUGUGAUCACAUUUUCUUUGAGUGCAGUUUUUCAAGGAAGGUGUGGCAGUCAGUUUUGUGUCUUUGCUCCAUUUAUAGGGCUGUGAGAACUUGUAGGCAAGAGUUAUGGAUACAGAGGAACAAGAGAUAUUUUGGUGCAUCUUUCUUAACUAAAGAUGCUGUCUUGGUACACGAUUAAAUAGAUUGUGCAGGCUCGCUUAGAGGAAAGAUCAAUCAAUAGAACUGAUCCUGUUAUUGCUUCACUUUAUGCUUCUUAAGGUAUCAUUGGUUAAUUUGUUUGUAUAGCUUAAAGUUACUGUAAAAUGUUUUUUGUUCUUUGUAACAGUUUUAACUGCUUUCUUGGAUUAAUUAACUUCAUCAUUCAUCCAAAAAAAAAGAGACGGUGUUAUUGGAAUCGGGUAGAAUCGAAAAUUAAUUGUUAUAUUGGUUCAAACAAAGAGAUUGAAUUAUUCACUGAAUGAACUGUUUAAAACCGAUAAAAACUCUAAAAUUGAGGUAAAAAUUGACUAUUGAAUCGAUUGAACCAAUUUAUACUUUCUAUUAAUUAUUUAUAAAUUUUAAAUUAUUUAUUUAAUUAUGAUUAAACUAAUGAUAUAAUCAUUUAAACUAAAAACUAAUAAUGUAACUCAUUCGACCACUUAUCCAAUUUUAAAAAAAAAAUGCUUUCUCAUCCUAAAUGUUUCAUUAGGAACUAUACUCUUCUCAAGUACCUCUCACUAUAUUCAAAUUAUCUCUCCUAUACUUGUUCAAUCCCACUUGUAAAUUUUACCUAAUGUUGUAAGGCAUAAUCAAUAAAUAAAAAGUUAGUUUUGUUUAAUGUGUGUGAAUGGAUAGGAGUAUUUUAAUUGCAUUAGAGAUAGAAUUAGCUAGUUGCCAUAGCAUUUAAACUUGCCUAAUUCAUAUAAAAGCUAGUUCUCCUACCUUUCCAUUUUAAGUUUAACAUCAUACAAAUUACAUAUAUAAGAUAAAUACAAUAUAAAAAGAGUUUUACUCAAAACAUUUUCAUGAAAAUAAUUUUUGCAGUUUGAAUAAUUUUGCAUAAAAUAUUUUCUGUUGUUUGAUAAAUUUUCUUGAAAUCAUUAUCUAAAAGUUAUUUUUAAUGAAAUAAACAUAACACAGAUAUUAUGGUAACAUUUACUUUUAACAAUUAAAAUUUAUUUUAUAAUAAGAUAAUAUUUUAUAAUAAUCAAUAUUAUAUAUAAAAUGCUAUUUGUACGAAAAUAAUCAAAAUAAUCAAAUUAAAACAUGUCAAUCAAAUAAACAAAUACUACUUUAUAUAAUUGCAAUUAACCACACUAACACUAUACAGUACUCUUAUCAAUUUAAGGAGAGCAAGGCAAUAAUGUGAAAUUUCGAGCACAACAGUGUCAUUGUACCUGAUAUAUAUAAUACAACAGAAGAACAACUUAUAAAUUAAAUGAAAGCAAAUUAAAAGUAGAAUGGAAAGGGCUGAGGAUCAGAAUAUGGUGGUUUGUGCAGUUGGGAUUGGAAGGUUACGAGAGUGGAGAUGUUGGAUGGAGUACUUAUAUAUAGCCAUAGGUGGAGUUGGUGGUGAUUACUUGUUGGAACCAAGAACGUGUGUAGUGGUAGAUGUAAGCUUGAAAGCAUAGCUUGAGGUUGAAGUGUUCAUUUGUUUUGAACCAUUCAAAGGCAUGCAGCAGCUUCUUUGUGAGUGAAGAGGAAGAAAACUUCAGAUUCAGACAUACAUAUAUUGCUUCAUCUCCUUAAUAUCAUAUAUAUAUAUAUAUAUAUAUAUAUAUAUAUAUAUUCAGCUCUGACCAAGCCUUUCAACUCUCUAUUCUAAAUUAUUGCAACGAGAGCUAUGGGUUUUCUCAAGCUGUAAUGGAGCUGCAGUAAUAAUAUUAUACUGGUAAAUUCAUAUAGAGCACCGUCGGAAUAGGGUUUCGAAGCAUUACCAAAGUUUAUCAAUCCAAUAGGAAAAAUUCUCAAACAUUUCUUAUCAUUAAAAAUAGUCAUCAAAGCAUCAUUUUAAUCCAAAUGAUAAACAUACCUAAACCAAAUCAAUUUGCCUAAUUCAUGAGCACUUAAACAUAGAAUUAAAUUCAAAUGCACGUAUCUAGAUUUAGUUCAAUUUACCAUGCCAUAAUAUGGCUUCAAAAAACAAACACAUAUUUAUAUAUAUUUACAAAACUAAUAUUAAACUUAUAACCUCAUUUACAAUUCAUCCACAAAAUAACAAUUAUUUAGACACCCUAGGUACAUGUCGACACAAAGGAUAAACAUCACAAAUUUGAGUUCGAGAUCGUUAUUGAAUGCUAAAUCGGUGAUAAAAAGUUAAGUACCUAACCUGCGCACGGAAAACAAAAUCGUACGUUAAGUAAAACUCAGUGGUAUUUCUAUAAUCUAAAUAUUUAAAGACAAGAUAAAAUAAUAUGCACAUAUUAAUUAUAAGCACAAUUCAAUAUUUAAAACCACAUUUAUUCAUACAAUGACAUUAGCCAUUCAAUACUCAAAUCAUAAAUACAUCAUUUUAUACUAUUCUCAAUUCUCAUCAUUUGCUAUAUAAUAGCUUUUCACAAUUUGAUCCACGUAUCAUUUAAACAAUAACAUUAUCCAUUCCAUAUCAUACAUAAUUCAUGUAUCUCAUUUUCAUGUUUCAAUUCACUAACCCAUUUUCAAUUCCCGUACAAUAUCAUCCAAUAGCACUCAUAGUACCGUUUUCUUUAAUUACCCCUAUUAACACGACUCGGACUCGGACAGAUAUACGGAUCCAACCCUAUGCCUCAUCGGAUAAAUCUGAAGUAGUAAUUGCGCCCAACGCUUUAUAAAUUUGACACCCAGUGUCUCGUUGGUUAAACCGAAGUAAAUUAGCACCCUGUGCCUCAUCGACUCGAAGUCGAAUAAAUCCUUGUACUCUUCCUAUCCUAUAGCAUGCCAUCUAUAUCCGACUCAGCCCGAUACAGUUAAUAGGGUUCCAAUUUGCUUUCCAAAUACAACCAAUAUCCAAUUAUCAUAUUUGCACAUCACGUAUAUAUUCAUUUCAAUUCAAAUAAUCAUUACAUUUAUAAUAUAUAUACCAAUUCAAUCCAUUUCAAUCAGCUUUAAUUCAAUUCAAUAUCAAAGUGCCAAAUACUCACCUCAACCACUUACCAUAUGCAUUAAAUCAAAAUACAACAAUUAGUAACUAGGUUCGGAUUAGAGAAAUACAAACCAGGAAUUCCGAGCUAUUAGAUGUCGACUUUAUCUUUUCCUUUUUUAGUCGAGGAUUUCGGUACGACGUUAGCUACAGAAUUAAAACAAUUAAAAUUCAUCAAUAUAACACAAUUCAAUUUCAUAUUGAAUAUUUCAAUUUUUUACUCAAUAUUUUCCAAAAUUUCAAUUUAGUCCCUAAAUCGAGACUAAUUUUAUUCGUCACAUUUAAUUCUACAUUUUCAUACAAAUUCCACUUUAAAUUAAAUUUAACUCCCUAUUUUCACUUAAGUCCCUAAAUUUUGAAUUUUUCACAAUUUAGUCCCUAUUACUCAAAAUUUACCAUUUAUUCUACAAUUUAAUCCUUUUUCAUUUCUAGCUUAAAGAUCUAUCAAUUUAACCCCUAAUACUAAAAUUAUUCAACAUUAACAACAUUUAUAAACUCAAUAAUUGCUAAAUUUUCUACAUAAGUCAGGUAGUACUUAACACCGAGAUUCCAAAAACAUAAAAAUUACAAGAAAAAUGGACUAAAUUGACUAACCAAUUGAACUUGGAAUUUUGAAACCCCUAACCCGUGGGUUCUUUCUUCUCUUUCUCUUUUCCUUUUUCUUUCUUUCUAUUUUGUUUUGCUUUUGUCUUUCUUUAUUUCUUUUAUUACUAUAAUAUAUAUUUACUUAAAUAUUAAGUAAAACAUACUAUAAUAUAUAUUUUUUAAAUUUAAUUUAUUAAUAAUAUAUAAUAAUAAUUUUACACUUUAUGCCACCUCAUUAAAGAACAAUGACGUAAUUGCUUCUUUAGUCCCUUUAAUUAUUCUUUAAUCUAUGAUUCAACUUUCACCCUAUAUGUAAUUUAGUCUUUAUACCUAAUUACUUUUAAUUCAAGUAAAUUCACUUAACCAAAAUCUAAUUAACUACACAAAUAGCUUAGUAAAUAUUUAUUAAAAAUAUUUACGAGUCCGAUUUACGGGAAUGGAAUCCCGGGAAUGCACUUUUUUAUUUUUUUCAAUUUGGUCCUUUUUUUAAUUAACUAUCGAAACGUUAAAAUUUCUUAAUGAAACUUUAAUACCACCUUAAUGACACUCCGUAAAUAUUUAUAAAAAUAUUUACGGCUCGGUUUAUAAAAACAAAGUCUCGAUACCUCAUUUUCUAAAAUCACUUAAACUUAAUAAAUCACUUAGAUAACAUAAAUUAUCAAAUCAAAAACCUUUUUUUUUAAUCACAUUUGACUCAUAAAUAUUAAAUAAUAAUAUUUACGAACUUACUCAUCGGAUUUGGUGGCCCCAAAACCACUGUUUCUGACACCACGGAAAAACGGGCUGUUACAACUCUUCUCCUUUACAAAAAUUUCGUCCUUGAAAUUACUCACCUGGUAUAAGCUAUUAAGUCAAGUCUUUCUUCCACCUUUUCAAUCGAAGUUCAUAAAAAUCAAUCAUAACUCAUAUCAUAUUCGAACUCAUAUCAGAACUCAUUUUAGAAGUUGAUAGUAUACCUGAACUUAACUGAGUAGCUCUGAUGUUCUCCUACCAUCACUUUAUCAUUAGUAAUAUAACUACCGAGAAAUUCCCAAUAAUCGUCUGUCGAAACAUAAUCGAGAAACUCGGAUUAUCAAACUCUAGCUGAUGCUUAUGAUGUAGUUGUAUCUAUAACUUUCAACUGAUAUUUGUUCCCCUUUUUCGAGGAAAUUAGUGUCAAGCAAUAUCUUUUUACACAAGUGCAAUAACUUCAACAAUCGGGACAACUUUAACCCAUAAUAACAUUUCUCGAUUAGAACUGACUUGAUAGAUAUAUUUCUGUAUCAAGUCUUCUAGAAUCUAAAUUUCUCAUUCUUACUGUUCGUCUAUUUACCCAUGAAUGCUUAUUCCUGGACCUGAAGAUAGACUCAAAUGCGUAUAACUCAAUUAACUUUUCAAUGAAUAACCCACACUGAUUAAAACAAAUGAGUCGAUUUUAUCUAUCAGAUAAUAACAUUUUAGAAUAAUCCUUUCUUCUUGUUGUUAAGACAACCUAGACAUACAAUCUAUCACAAUUCCCUUAGAAUACUAAUCAAAGAUCCAUAAAAAUUGCAUUAACUUAAACGAAACAUAACAUCCCGUUUUAACUUGUUGACAUUAAUCAAGAUUACCUGAGGAAUGAAAACCAAUAUACAAGUUUGAGCUCAAUCUUCCACCGUCUACUCUUUUAUCGAUGUCAACCCUUUCACGAAAGCUAGAAAAAGGAUUAUAUAUAAUAAAGCUAUUUCAAUUAUUAACAUCGAAGCUUUAAACUAUACCGAAGCCACAACCAUCAGAUAGAUUAAAAACCAUAGUGCUAUAAUAGGACCGACGUUUCAACAUCAAUACUGCACUCCAAAAUAGAAGGGAAAACUGAAAGUAGUCCAAUAACAACCAGUGCAGUAAUACAACUUUUAUAAUCUGAGAUCCAUAUCACUGAGCUCCCAUGAUCGAACCAGGAUUUAUAACAGUAAUAAAUGUAAUUACCUCUGGCUAAUGAAUAUCUUUUACAGAUGAACUAUGUUUGAUAAAUUAAACAAUAAGAAUGAUAAGAAAAUCGAGAUAAUGAAAUCCAAGAUAUGAAGCUAUACUGAAUUUCCAAGAAUAAAAACCAUAUUGAAUGAUAAAGAGAUUGAUGAUGUCCCAAAGAAAGUCCAGAAGAAGAAUAUCGCUCAUACGCACUAGAAACAGUUGUGAUAGAGAUAAUUUAAAUUGCAUAUAUGUAAUUCAGAACAUUAACCAGUAGAAGUAGAAAAUAGCUUCAUAUGAAUCUUAUCAUCAAGUCUUUUAUCUAACAUAAUGGAUUAGAAUUUCAGAAAAAGAUAGAGCAAUGCCGAUCAUGAAUCAACCAGACUAAUAAUAAUUCCGUCUAACAUUAUGAUUAGCUAACCUUUUUAUAUGAUAAGAAUCACAUCUGAAAAUGAACAGUUACAUACAUCUCUGAGAAUAAAAGAACAUAUAGAAUACCCAGACGAGAUCACUAUAAGAUACUCGACUAUAACAGCUGCAUUCAGAUAUCUUUGCAAUUUCAAGACUAUCCCACUGACUACUACAGUCAUCAAUGAUCCUACAUUAUCCCAAUCACUAAAGAAAUCAAUUCAGAAGAAAUUCUGGUUAACCCAUUCUUUAAAUACCAUACCUGAAUAAAUCGAUUACUCAUGAAUAACUUCUUCUUUAAUAACGACAUUGCGUAUCCCAAAUAAUUUUCAGAAAAAUCUAAUAUCUCUUCUAAAAUUCUCUUUACUUGCUAACCCAUCCUCGUCUCUGGCCGCGUUAUUAUUCAUUCAGCUAUUGAACUCUUCAGUUUCACACUUGUAAGCUUAAUGAAUAUAAAUCUUGUAAAUUUCGUUGUAUAAGACUGUACAGGUGAUGGGUGAAAGUCGUAAAGCAUCAAAUUUUGACUCUCAUAUAUAUACACGUAUAACAUAACAUUUAUCAUCAACAUAAUCAUUAUAAUCAUUCGACAUUUUCAACUAUAAAACAAAAACAAAUAUAUCAGCAUCCAAAUCCCGACUCAAUUUGACUCAAUUAUGGCACGUACCUCUAGACUCAAUUUCGAGCUCGAUUUAGUUCGAGAAUCGGCUAAACCUAUAAAACUCAGAUACCACUAAAUGUAACACCCUUAACCCAUAUUCGUCGCUAAAAUAAGGUUUCGAAGCAUUACUAAAGUUUAUCGAUCAAACAGGUAGAAUUCUUAAACAUUUCGUAUCAUUAAAACAAGUCAUCAAAGCAUCAUUUUAAUCCAAAUUAUAAACAUACCUAAUCCAAAUCAAUUUGCCUAGUUCAUAAGCACUUAAACAUAGAAUUAAACCCAAAUGCACGUAUCUAGAUUUAGUUUAAUUUACCAUGCCAUAAUAUGGCUUCAAAAAACAAACACAUAUUUAUAUAUAUAUUUACCAAACUAAUAUUAAACUUAUAACCUCAUUUACAAUUCAUCCAGAAAAUAACAAUUAUUUAGACACCUUAGGUACAUACCGACACAAAGGAUAAACAUCAAACAUUUGAGUUCGGGAUCGUUAUUGGAUGCUGAAUCGGUGAUAAAAAGUUAAGUACCUAACCUGUGCACAUAAAACAAAACCGUACGCUGAGUAAAACUCAGUGGUAUUUCUAUAAUCCAAAUAUUUAAAGACAAGAUAAUAUAAUAUACACAUAUUAAUUAUAAGCACAAUUGAAUAUUUAAAACCACAUUUAUUCAUACAAUGGCAUUAGCCAUUCAAUACUCAAAUCAUAAAUACACCAUUUUAUAUCAUACUUAAUUCUUAUCAUUUGCUAUAUAAUAGCUUUUCAUAAUUUGAUCCACAUAUCAUUUAAACAAUAUCAAUAUCCAUUCUAUAUCCAAUUCACGAAUACAUAAUUCAUGUAUCUCAUUUUCAUGUUUCAAUUCACUAACCCAUUUUCAAUUCACGUACAAUAUCAUCAAAUACCAAUCAUAGUACCUUUUUAUUUAAUUACCCCUAUUAACACGACUCGGACUCGGACGGAUACACGGAUCUAACCAACACACCAGUUUGGCACCCAGUGCCUCAUCGAAUAAAUUCGAAGUAGUAACUGCGCCAAGUGCUUUAUAAAUUUGACACCCAGUGUCUCAUCAGUUAAACCGAAGUAAAUUGGCACCUAGUGCCUCAUUGACUCGAAGUCGAAGAAAUCCCUGAACUCUUCCUAUCCUAUGGCAUGCCAUCUAUAUUCGACUCAGUCCGAUACAGUUAAUAGGGUUCCAAUUCACUUUCCAAAUAUAACCAAUAUCCAAUUAUCAUAUUUGCACAUUAUCACAUUUACACAUAUAUAUUCAUUUCAAUUCAAAUAAUCAAUACAUUCGUAAUAUAUAUAUCAAUUCAAUCAAUUUCAAUUAAAUUUAAUUCAAUUCAAUAUCAAAGUGUCAAAUACUCAUCUUAACCACUUACCAUAUGCAUUAAAUCAAAAUACAACAAUUAGUAACUAGGUUCAGAUUAUAGAAAUACAAACCAGGAAUUCCAAGCUAUUUGACAUUGACUUUAUCUUUCCUCUUUUUAGUCGAGGAUUCUGGUACGACGUUAACUACAAAAUUAAAACAAUUAAAAUUCAUCAAUAUAACACAAUUCAAUUUUUUAUAUUGAAUAUUUCAAAUUUUUACUCAAUAUUUGCCUAAAUUUCAAUUUAGUCCCUAAAUCGAGACUAAUUUUUAUUCUUCACAUUUAAUUCUAUAUUUUCAUACAAAUUUCACUCCCUAUUUUCACUUAAGUCUCUAAAUUUUUAAUUAUUCACAAUUUAGUCCCUAUUACUCAAAAUUUACCAUUUAUUCUACAAUUUAAUCCUUUUUCAUUUCUAGCUUAAAAAUCUAUCAAUUUAACCCCUAAAACUAAAAUUAUUCAAUAUUAACAACAUUUAUAAACUCAAUAAUUGCUAAAUUUUUUACAUAAGUCGGGUAGUACUUAACACCGGGAUUCCAAAAACAUAAAAAUUACAAGAAAAAGGGGACUAAAUUAACUACCCAAUUGAACUUGGAACUUUGAAACCCCUAAGCCAUGAGUUCUUCUUUCUUUCUCUUUUUCUUUUUCUUUCUUUCUCUUUAGUUUUGCUUUUAUCUUUCUUUAUUUCUUUUAUUACUAUAAUAUAUAUAUAUUUACUUAAAUAUUAAGUAAAACAUAUUAUAAUAUAUAUUUUAACUUUAAUUUAUUAAUAAUAUAUAUAAUAAUUUUACACCUUAUGUGGCCUCAUUAAAAAAUAAUGGUGUAAUUUGCUUCUUUAGUCCCUUUAAUUAUUCUUUAAUCUAUGAUUCAACUUUCACCCUAUAUGCAAUUUAGUCCUUAUACCUAAUUUCUUUUAAUUCAAGUAAAUUCACUUAACCGAAAUCUAAUUAACUACACAACUAGCUUAAUAAAUAUUUAUUAAAAAUAUUGACGAGUCCAAUUUACGGGAACGGAGUCCCGGGAAUGCACUUUUUAUUUUUUUUCAAUUUGGUCCUUUUCUUUUAAUUAAUUAUCAAAACGUUAAAAUUUCUUAAUGAAACUUUAAUACCACCUUAAUGACACUCUGUAAAUAUUUAUAAAAAUAUUUACGGCUCGAUUUAUAAAAACAAGGUCCUGAUACCUCAUUUUCUAAUACCACUUGAACUUAAUAAAUCACUUAUAUAACAUAAAUUAUCAAAUCAAAAACCUUUUUUUUAAAUCACAUUUGACUCGUAAAUAUUAAAUAAUAAUAUUUACGAACUUACCCAUUAGAUUUGGUGGCCCCGAAACCACUGUUUCCGACACCACUGAAAAACAGGCUAUUACAUAAUCAUUUAAAAAUUAUAAAGAUAUAAAUUAUUAAAAUGAUGAAAUUACAUUUUUACUAUCUCAAAAAUAUACAAUUUAAUUUUGACCUGACUCACUAUUAUGUAGAUAAGAAGUUAGUAAAUUUUCCUCAUCAUUUGACAUCCAUCACCCUUUUGUGCCACUGUUAAGAAAUUAAAAGUUAAAAUGUUGAAGCAUUUAUUAUUAACCAAAAUUGGAAAAAGUAAAUUAGCUAUAUAUGUAGAUGUCAACUAGUAAUAAUUUUUGCAAGUCAUGAAUGUCUGCAACAAUGUGCAUAAUCUAUUUGAAGGAUGAACAAAAACAAUAAUCAUUAAGAAAAUUGACAAAUCAAAACAAAUUACAGAUAUGCAUCAAUUUUAUUAGCAGCCAAAAAUGAACAGAAAAAACAUUUACAUGAGUAGGAAUAUGCAGGCGGUGUGCUAUAUAAAUUUACCAUUAAAAUAAUAUUACAGCUACCGAAACCCCAUAACUCUCUUAAGGCAGCAAGUUGCAAUAAUUUAGAAUAGAGAGUUGCAGGCUUGGUCAGAGCUGAAUAUAUAUAUAUAUAUGAAAUUAAGGAGAUGAAGUACCAUAUGUAUGUCUGAAUACAAAGAAGCUGCUGCAUGCCACUGAAUGGUUCAAAACAAAGGAACACUUCAACCUCAAGCUAUGCUUUCAAGCUUACAGCUAAAAACUACACACGUUUUUGGUUCCCACAAGUAAUCACCACCAACUCCACCUAUGGCUAUAUAUAAAUACUCCACCCAACAUCUCCACUCUCAUAACCUUUCAAUUCCAACUGCACAAACCACCAUAUUCCGAUCCUCAGCCCUUUGCAUUUAAUUUAUAAGUUUUUCUUCUGCUAUAUUAUAUCAGGCACAAUGACUUUGUUGUGCUCGAAAUUUCACAUUAUUGCCUUGCUCUCCUUCAUGCUUGGCUGCUCAAUUGUGGCUUCUGCAUCUUUGAAGGUGGGCUUCUAUACACAGAGAUUAAAAGAAACCUGCUGAAACGAAAAAUAAAGGGCUCAAAGGGGAGGAAGGUGCAGUCAAUGUUUGAAAUUCAGGACGAGAUCCUGUCGUUAAAUGAAAAGAGAAAGAGGGAUAUGGCUUUGAAAAAAAUAGAGGGGAAACAAAUCGGAGGCCAGAGAUGAGGUGGUGGUGAAUGCUUCAUUGUCAGACUCAGACAUUAGCAAUAGAAAACAAGUAAUCCUUAGAGAAGCAAAUGAGGUGUGGGAAAUCGGAAAAAAAUUAGGUUUAGUAUUCGGGGGGACGAAAGGCUAGUAAUGGAAGAAAUAAUGAGGUUGGAAGAAGGUCAAGGCUGAGUUUAUAGAGUCCAGAUACAAGCGGCCGAUCAAGAAAUAAAUUUGUCACAAUUUAUAUCGACAUUAUUAGUACAAUUGAAAUGCAUGUUAAAUUAAAUCAAAAGUUUACUGAUACAAAUACAUUUACUACUUGGCAUGGCCAAUUAGACUAUCCUAGGUCAUAUAUGAUGCGAAAAUUAAUUGAGAAUUCAUAUGGAAAUCAUUAAAGAACCAGAAGAUUAUUUAAUUUAAAGAGUUCUCAUGUAUUGUUUGCUCGCAAUGAAAAUUUAUUACUAAAAAACUCAUUAAGUAAAGUUAAGAUUUAAUAUCUUGAAAUUUUGAAAUGAAUAUGAGCUCAUUCAUCCACUAUGGGGAUGAUUUUGAUAUUAUAUGAUUUUGACAGAUACAUCUACAAAAUAAUCACAUAUGUGUUAUCAACUCGCGGCCUAUGGUUUGCAAGAUUAUUUAUUUAAAUAAUUAAUCUUAGGUUAUGCAAUCAAGACAAUUCUUGCUAAUACUAAUGAGUUUCUAUCUCAAGCUUUUAUUUAUCGUUGUAUAUGACUUCGAAAAACUUUUGUAAAGCCUACUAUUUUUAAACAUAUUGGUUGAGGGAAAUUUUUGGACGCCUCCAAUGAAUAUUGAAACCAUUACUUUAUAUGAGAACAAAGCGAGAUUAUAUUGAUUUACGUGCUAUAACACUUAUAAGCAUCAAACCAAUAAGUUAUAAAUAUUUUUCACUAGGCAGGAGUUAAAUAAUGAUUUAUAUAAUGUGAAAAUAAUGAUUUACAUUUAAAUGAACAACUGUAGUUGUAGGUAGCUGUUAGUGAAACAAAAUGAAUGAAUGAAAAGAAUGGUAAUUAAACAAAUUAAAUAAGCAAGUAUGGCUUUGAAAGAAAUAUAGGUAGGAGUAGGAGUCGUUUCAAGUAACAUAUCAGUUGGGCACACUGCAAAUUCUCCUGAUUUCACCUUGUGCUCCAGUGAUAACAUCAAGGGAACCCAUAUGCACCAUUGCCUUGCCGAACUUUUUAGCCCAUGCUGCACCGUGCUUCACAUUGUUCAGCACCAACGCGGAGGUCAAGGAACUGUCCAUCAAUGUCUGGUCGGAGGUGAGCAAACCACGACGACGCCUCAGUUCAGUGUAGUACUUGUUGUCCAGGCGAUUGGGUGUGACACUGUCAAGUGGCACUGUGGUUGGAUCCCCUCCAGCACCAGCCGCAGAUGUUGGGGGUGGGCACUUGGUUUUCAAAAAGGCAGCGUAGUUGGGAUCAAGAGAAGGGUCUUGGGCAUGAGUGGCGUUAAAAGAGUAGAGUCGGUUGGAAAUGGAAGAGCAAUGCGAGACACCAAUGGAGUGUGCCCCCGAUAAUGUCACCAUCUCAUCCACUGACAUUCCUUUCCUUGCGAAAAGUUGAGCAAUUUGUUGUGCGUUGAAGGAUGGCGGAGGCAGGUUUUGUGUUACUUCGUCGAUAAUGGAGACCCGGCCAUCCCGGCGGCCGGCGGGAAUGGCGUAAUAAAUCCCUCCAGCUUUGUAGGUGCUGUCACGGGCAGCGAAUGCGAUUAUGUCUGCACAAGACACGGUUCCUGGACAUUGUGCCUCGAUUUGGGCCUUGGCCUCAUCAAUCACCUCGAAGCCUCGCAAAC